rnacentral:rRNA from 1 species
UUGGCCGUAAAAGACUGAUAACUACACAUCAGCCCGCCAGACUACUACAAGUAAAAACUUAAAACUCAAAGGACUUGACGGUGUCCCACACACAACCUAGAGGAGCCUGUCCUAUAAUCGAUGACCCACGAUAGACCUCUCCGCCCUUUGCCAAACAAUCUAUAUACCGCCGUCGCCAGCCCACCUUUUGAAAGAAAACAAGUGGACAAAAAAGUAAGCCACUAGCACGUCAGGUCAAGGUGUAGUUAAUAGGGCGGUUAGAAAUGGGCUACACUCCCUUAUAAAGGGAAUAACGGAUGGCCUAAUGAAAAAUUGCCUGAAGGUGGAUUUAGUAGUAAAAUCGGAUUAGCAAGCCCAUUUGAACACACUGCCCUGGGACG